rnacentral:tRNA from 1 species
GCGAGAGUGGCGGAACUGGCAGACGCGCUGGAUUUAGGAUCCUGUGCCUUCACUGGCGUGGGGGUUCGACUCCCCCCUCUCGCA